rnacentral:rRNA from 1 species
AUUGAACGCUGGCGGAAUGCUUUACACAUGCAAGUCGAACGGCAGCACGGACUUCGGUCUGGUGGCGAGUGGCGAACGGGUGAGUAAUGUAUCGGAACGUGCCCAGUCGUGGGGGAUAACGUAGUGAAAAUUACGCUAAUACCGCAUACGAUCUAUGGAUGAAAGCGGGGGAUCGCAAGACCUCGCGCGAUUGGAGCGGCCGAUAUCAGAUUAGGUAGUUGGUGGGGUAAAGGCCCACCAAGCCAACGAUCGGUAGCUGGUCUGAGAGGACGACCAGCCACACGGGAACUGAGACCCGGUCCAGACUCCUACGGGAGGCAGCAGUGGGGAAUUUUGGACAAUGGGCGAAAGCCUGAUCCAGCCAUUCCGCGUGCAGGAUGAAGGCCCUCGGGUUGUAAACUGCUUUUGUACAGAACGAAAAGGUUUCUACUAAUACUAGGAGCUCAUGACGGUACUGUAAGAAUAAGCACCGGCUAACUACGUGCCAGCCGCCGCCGUAA